CGCUGGAUGACCAAGGGUUCCGGGGCCACGUUCGUCGUCCCCGGGUGAGUCGGGUCCUAAGGCGAGGCCGACAGGCGUAGUCGAAUGGAUGAACGGGUGGAUAUUCCCGUACCGACCAUGGACCGGCAAAACCGAGACGGUGAGUACUAACCUCCGCCUCGUGGUGGUUCCUUCCUUCGGGUUGGUAUCGCCGCGUGGUGUUGGGACUGUAGCCGUAGUAGGUCAGCGCAGGGGUGACACGGAAUGGGAGCCGGCCGCGGAGGUGGUUUUCCGUGGUCAAGCACGCAGCCAGUCAUGUAGGCAAAUCCGCAUGGCGCGCAUGGCGAGGUGUGAUGAUGGGAGCCGUUAUGGCUCGAUAUCCGGUUGUCCAGGCCGUCGAGAAAAGCCUCGGCGUGAGGGCCAUGGCCGCCCGUACCCCAAACCGACACUGGUGGUCAGGUAGAGAAUACCAAGGCGAUCGAGCGAAUCCUGGUCAAGGAACUCGGCAAAUCACUCCCGUGCCUUCGGUAUAAGGGAGACCCGCUGGGGUGAACCGGCUAGCCCGGGGAGCUUUGGUGGGUGGCACAGACCAGGGGGUAGCGACUGUUUACCAAAAACACAGGUGCAUGCGAAGGCGAAAGCCGCUGUAUAUGCACUGACGCCUGCCCGGUGCCGGAAGGUUAAGAGGAUCCGUCAGCCCCUUUUGGGGUGAAGCGGUGAAUUCAAGCCCCGGUAAACGGCGGUGGUAACUAUAACCAUCCUAAGGUAGCGAAAUUCCUUGUCGGGUAAGUUCCGACCUGCACGAAUGGCGUAACGACUUCCCCACUGUCUCGACCAGGAGCUCGGCGAAAUUGCAGUACGAGUAAAGAUGCUCGUUAAGCGCAGAAGGACGAAAAGACCCCGGGACCUUUACUAUACCUUGGUAUUGGCGUUAGGCGCGGAUUGUGUAGCAUAGGCGGGAGGCUUCGAAGCAUGGGCGCCAGCCCGUGUGGAGCCGCAAGGUGAAAUACCGCUCUGUUCUCGUUUGACGUCUAACCUCGAACAGUCAUCCUGUUCAGGGACAGUGCCUGGCGGGUAGUUCAACUGGGGCGGUUGCCUCCCAAAGAGUAACGGAGGCGCUCAAAGGUCCGCUCAGCCCGGUUGGCAAUCGGGUGUCGAGUGUAAUCGCACAAGCGGGCUUGACUGCGAGGACGACGGUCCGAGCAGGGACGAAAGUCGGAGAUAGUGAUCCGGUGCCGGCGCACGGGCGCGGCAUCGCUCAACGGAUAAAAGGUACCCCGGGGAUAACAGGCUGAUCAUUCCCAAGAGUCCAUAUCGACGGGAUGGUUUGGCACCUCGAUGUCGGCUCGUCGCAUCCUGGGGCUGGAGCAGGUCCCAAGGGUUCGGCUGUUCGCCGAUUAAAGCGGCACGCGAGCUGGGUUCAGAACGUCGUGAGACAGUUUGGUCUCUAUCCUCUGCGCUCGUUGGAAUC
rnacentral:rRNA from 1 species